rnacentral:rRNA from 1 species
CAUGAAGUUGGAAUCGCUAGUAAUCGCGGAUCAGCAUGCCGCGGUGAAUACGUUCCCGGGCCUUGUACACACCGCCCGUCACACCAUGAGAGUCGGGAACACCCGAAGUCCGUAGCCUGACCGCAAGGGGGCGCGGCCGAAGGUGGGUUCGAUAAUUGGGGUGAAGUCGUAACAAGGUAAC